AUUGAACGCUGGCGGCAGGCCUAACACAUGCAAGUCGAACGGUAACAGGAAACAGCUUGCUGUUUCGCUGACGAGUGGCGGACGGGUGAGUAAUGUCUGGGAAACUGCCUGAUGGAGGGGGAUAACUACUGGAAACGGUAGCUAAUACCGCAUAACGUCGCAAGACCAAAGAGGGGGACCUUCGGGCCUCUUGCCAUCGGAUGUGCCCAGAUGGGAUUAGCUAGUAGGUGGGGUAACGGCUCACCUAGGCGACGAUCCCUAGCUGGUCUGAGAGGAUGACCAGCCACACUGGAACUGAGACACGGUCCAGACUCCUACGGGAGGCAGCAGUGGGGAAUAUUGCACAAUGGGCGCAAGCCUGAUGCAGCCAUGCCGCGUGUAUGAAGAAGGCCUUCGGGUUGUAAAGUACUUUCAGCGGGGAUGAAGGGAGUAAAGUCAAUACCUUUGCUCAUUGACGUUACCCGCAGAAGAAGCACCGGCUAACUCCGUG
rnacentral:rRNA from 1 species